rnacentral:rRNA from 1 species
GCGGCGGCUUACACAUGCAGUCGAACGGAAAGGCCCAGCUUGCUGGGUACUCGAGUGGCGAACGGGUGAGUAACACGUGGGUGAUCUGCCCUGGACUCUGGGAUAAGCCUGGGAAACUGGGUCUAAUACCGGAUAUGACCUUACAUCGCAUGGUGUUUGGUGGAAAGCUUUUGCGGUUCAGGAUGGGCCCGCGGCCUAUCAGCUUGUUGGUGGGGUAAUGGCCUACCAAGGCGACGACGGGUAGCCGACCUGAGAGGGUGAUCGGCCACACUGGGACUGAGACACGGCCCAGACUCCUACGGGAGGCAGCAGUGGGGAAUAUUGCACAAUGGGCGCAAGCCUGAUGCAGCGACGCCGCGUGAGGGAUGACGGCCUUCGGGUUGUAAACCUCUUUCACCAGGGACGAAGCGCAAGUGACGGUACCUGGAGAAGAAGCACCGGCCAACUACGUGCCAGCAGCCGCGGUAAUACGUAGGGUGCGAGCGUUGUCCGGAAUUACUGGG